rnacentral:lncRNA from 1 species
GUCUGGGGGACUUUUGGGAUAGCAUUUGAAAUGUAAAUGAAGAAUACCUAAUUAAAAAAAAAAACAAAUGCACUGACAUCAUUAAAUCAUUCACUUAUCCAAAAAAAAGAAUUGCACUUGUACUUUUCCUGGCUGGACACAUGUUAUGUCUUUGAAUGCAUAUAGAGGAAUACAUAACCCCAAGAGUUUCCUAUUUGCCAGUUACCUCUAUUUAUGUUUAUUAAUUCAUUGAGAAAUCCAUGCAAUGUAUUUUUAUCCCAUUAACCACUCCCCCCAGCUACCACUCCCCCCAACUCUGUCUAGAUCUACUUACUUUUCCUACCUACUCGUUUUAUUGUUUGUUUUGGGUUUUUUUUUUUUUUGAAUCCUCUUUUUCUAAAAGCCCCUGGAGUCCCAUUUACUCUAGGACAUGUGGCCUUCCAGUGGAGCAUGGAGGACAUACCACUGGACAUACAUACAUUUAAGGAAAGCUGAUUCUUCUCCUGGCAGCUAUUAACUGCCAAUAGCUCCCAAGCUAAGUGUAGGACUUAGUGCCAACUCUGAUUGCUAUGCUGGGAUUUGGUCUGCCCUGGCUCAUGCAUGGUACCACAUCCACUGUGAGUUCAUAGGGGCAACUGCCUUUCUGAAUCUAAGAAACACUAUUUUCUUGUAGACACUGUCCUUGAGUUCUUACAAUCUUCCUGCCUCCUCUCCCACCAUAUGUCUGAGCAUUGUGAGCAAGGGAUAUGAUAAAGAUGUCCCACUUAGGGCUGAGCAUUCCUUAGUCUCUUACUCACACCUAGACCAGUUGUGGGUCUAUGUGUUAAUUGGUAACUACAGCAAAGCAAGCUUCUCCAAUGAAGGUUGACAGAUGCACUACUAUAGGGAUAUAAAAUGGCGAUUCAUUAGAAGAUGGCUUAAUACUAUGUCUAUUUAACAGAACAGGAGAAGUAGGUUUCCCCCUAGGGAUCAUGAGCUGUCUAGCCACAGUAUCUUGGACCCAGCAACAAUGCCAGUUAUGGAUUCCAUCUUGUGAAGCAGGCUUUAAAUCCAAUCAGAAAGUGUUUGGCUACACCCAUGAUAUGUGUACCACGAUUGCACCAGUGGGCUUACUGCCAGGUUAGCCAUUUCUGUAGCUCCCAGUGAUCACAGUGCUCACAGCUAGGUAAGACUGGUGAUUACAUAUCUCCUCGGAUAGCCCUCGCAGCACCUCCUAGCCCUGGGAAAGCUAGCUAGUAGGGAGUAAAGCCUCCAAGUGAAGACCAGCUUUACUUCUCUAUGGUUUAUGACUAGUCAACAACUCCAUUCCUGGAACUGCAGUUUUUAUUUGUUGACCUCUGGUAUUCUAUAGUAAGGGGAUUUUCCCCUUAUUAUAGGGUAAUUCCCUUUAAACCCUUUUCUCAUAUGUUUGUGUGUAUAUAUUUUAGGAAGAAUGUGUAUAUAUUCUGAAGUAGUAGGCUUCCACAUGAGUUUUUCAAAAUUUUUCUAGUAUUUCUCAUCCCUUUCCAGAUUCUCUGUUAGAGCCUGUCCUCCCAGAACCUGCCCCAAUUUAACCCUUCCUUUUCCAUUAUUCCCCUUUUACCAUUUAUAUCACCAUCUUAUAUACCCCUUCCUGGAAAGAAACUUGGCACCCAACUAAUUUUAUGGCCUCUAAUGGGCAUCCCAAAUAAAACACAUAUUUCUGAAGAUUCAAGGCUAACAUUUGUAAGCAAGAGACAAUGUGCGAGGUUUGUCUUUCUAGGUUUAGCUUAUCUCAGUCAGAAUGGCUGUUUGCAGCUCUACCCAUUCAUCUGCAAAUAUCAUCGUUUGGGUUUUAGCUACCUCUGAUGCUACAUCUCCUCUCAGGCCCUGGAUCUAUCCUGGACUCAGGUGUCACACAACCAUCUUUAUAUACUUCUUGCCAGAAAGUCUGGGUUUUGCACCAUGCUGGUAAUCACUGUGGCGUCUCAGUAUUUUCUGAACUGCCUCCCAUCUGCUGUAUUCAGAACAACUGUAAGAUCAUGUUCUUGAUUCUAUGUAUUAGUGUCUGUAAAAUUCAACUUACUUUUGUAAUCUCUCAGUUGAUCUCAUGCCUUUCAUUUUCCCAUCUCCAGUCUGGUUCUUCUCCAUGUUUUAGAGAUGUACCUUCCUGCCUCCUUGACUCAACAUUCAGCAUUGAAUGGGCAAUGUAAAGAAAGAAGCCCUCUCUUGUUAUUCCCUUGUAGUAAGAUCCAUUUUUCUGAUAAGCCAAACUCAACAAUCAAGUAGAUUUCAAUGCUAGAUAUGCUGCUAACCUGCUUUGGGACUUUUGUUACUGUGGACCCAGAUAUCUUCCUAUGUAAGACUAGAGUGAAAAUAGCAAUAAUAAUAAACUUACUUCAUGGUUUAUAUAAGCACUUGGGCCAACACCCAGCACCUACUGUUUGCUCAACUAAUUCCUCGCAUUAUUUUUUAUUUAAUCACUAAGUCCUUCUUGAUAGGCUCCUCAGAGUUUAUGUGAUAGAUUGAUACAAAUCUUUGAAUUGCAGUCUCUGGAUAGUCUAUAGCUGCCAAAUGAUGAUCCUCCUAAAAUACCAUUUUAAUUAAUAUUAUGAAAUCAAAUCCCUCAGUCACUAUCAUUUUCAGACACAGUAGAAACUUUCAUGAUGUUGUCAUUCAGACAUAAAGGAACCAUUUCUGCUUCAAUUAUCAAUCAUUUCUACUCCUCCUAUUUAACUCUUGGCUCUCGGUAACCUUGGCUUUUAUCCUAAUAUUUUGUUUAGUUCUACCCUUUAGUCUCUCUGCUAGUUAAUAACUGCUUAUGAUACAACAAGCAAGGUAACAUAUUGACUUUUUAAAGCAUUUUCCCAGUUAUCCUUAUAAUUUCUACAAAGUAGUGAUUAUGUCAUGACUAUUUUACAAAUGAGGAAAAAGGAGGACCUAAAAAGGGUGAGCAAUUAGCCAAGGAAAAUGAUACUGACCCCUCGCCCCCAAUGCCUGUUCCUGCUAGCUGUCCUCACCUGUGCUCACCUUCUUGGUACUCAACUAUUAUUCAAAACUUCCUUAAGAAGGGCAUCUCUAUGCAGUUCUCCAAAGGUUCUACAAACUCUAAGGGUAUCCUAUGUCCAACACAGCUUCUUAAAAUGAGAGGAUAUGUCAUAAAGCCCAACAAUGCUUUAAAAAUAGUGUUUAAUAAAUUCUUAUCACAUAAUGGAAUCAAGGUUGUAGUUUUUUCCGAUGAACUUGACAGUGACUUCUUCCGAUUGGACCACUGGCUUGUCUUAAUCAAUGAUUCUUGCUUGUUGUCCUUGUUAUUUUUGUUUUCCAACACAUUUCUGAAAAAGGACUUGGAAUGUGACAAGAUGCCACAGGAUGCUGGUGAUGUAAAUUUUAGAGCUCCUCAGUGUGCCCUCCUAUGGGUCAGAGUCUACUGUGGCUUUCCUCUCCUUUUCAGUCACCAUGAGGUUGGUCCAGCUGAAAUCCUCAAAUCUACUUUGGUCAUGCUUCUCUUUUAAGAAAGGCUGUGUUCAUCAGCAAAAGGGACAGAGAAAUGACAUAGUAAUAUUUUUUCCUCAGAAUGGGUUUUAAAAUAUAGCCUCUUCCACAGAGCUACAGCCCC